GGGGGCCCGCACAAGCGGCGGAGCAAUGGAUUAAUUCGAUGCAACGCGAAGAACCUACCUGGGCUUGACAUACACCGGACGGGUGCAGAGAUGUAUCUUCCCUUUGUGGCUGGUGACAGGUGGUGCAUGGUUGUCGUCAGCUCGUGUCGUGAGAUGUUGGGUUAAGUCCCGCAACAGCGCAACCCUUGUCUUAUGUUGCCAGCGCGUUGUGGCGGGGACUCAUGAUAGACUGCCGGGUUAACUCGGAGGAAGGUGGGGAUGACGUCAAAUCAUCAUGCCCCUUAUGUCCAGGGCUCACACAUGCUACAAUGGUCGGUACAACGCGCUGCGAGCCUGUGAGGGUGAGCGAAUCGCUAAAGCCGGCCUCAGUUCGGAUUGGGGUCUGCAACUCGACCCCAUGAAGUCGGAGUCGCUAUAAUCGCAGAUCAGCAACGCUGCGGUGAAUACGUUCCCGGGCCUUGCACACACCGCCCGU
rnacentral:rRNA from 1 species